UCCAGACUCCUACGGGAGGCAGCAGUGGGGAAUAUUGCACAAUGGGCGCAAGCCUGAUGCAGCGACGCCGCGUGCGGGAUGGAGGCCUUCGGGUUGUAAACCGCUUUUGUUCAAGGGCAAGGCACGGUCUUUGGCCGUGUUGAGUGGAUUGUUCGAAUAAGCACCGGCUAACUCCGUGCCAGCAGCCGCGGUAAUACGGGGGGUGCAAGCGUUGUCCGGAAUCAUUGGGCGUAAAGAGUUCGUAGGCGGCACGUAAAGUCUGGUGUUAAAGGCAGAGGCUCAACUUCUGUACGGCACUGGAUACUUGCGAGCUAGAAUGCGGUAGAGGUAAAGGGAAUUCCUGGUGUAGCGGUGAAAUGCUUAGAUAUCAGGAGGAACAUCGGUGGCGUAAGCGCUUUACUGGGCCGUAAUUGACGCUGAGGAACGAAAGCCAGGGUAGCAAAUGGGAUUAGAUACCCUGGUA
rnacentral:rRNA from 1 species